UGGACGUAAGAGUCGUAACAAGGUCUCCGUUGGUGAACCAGCGGAGGGAUCAUUACCGAGUUUACAACUCCCAAACCCAAUGUGAACGUUACCAAACUGUUGCCUCGGCGGGAUCUCUGCCCCGGGUGCGUCGCAGCCCCGGACCAAGGCGCCCGCCGGAGGACCAACCAAAACUCUUAUUGUAUACCCCCUCGCGGGUUUUUUACUAUCUGAGCCAUCUCGGCGCCCCUCGUGGGCGUUUCGAAAAUGAAUCAAAACUUUCAACAACGGAUCUCUUGGUUCUGGCAUCGAUGAAGAACGCAGCGAAAUGCGAUAAGUAAUGUGAAUUGCAGAAUUCAGUGAAUCAUCGAAUCUUUGAACGCACAUUGCGCCCGCCAGUAUUCUGGCGGGCAUGCCUGUCCGAGCGUCAUUUCAACCCUCGAACCCCUCCGGGGGGUCGGCGUUGGGGAUCGGCCCUUUACGGGGCCGGCCCCGAAAUACAGUGGCGGUCUCGCCGCAGCCUCUCCUGCGCAGUAGUUUGCACACUCGCAUCGGGAGCGCGGCGCGUCCACAGCCGUUAAACACCCCAAACUUCUGAAAUGUUGACCUCGGAUCAGGUAGGAAUACCCGCUGAACUUAAGCAUAUCAAUAAGCGGAGGA
rnacentral:rRNA from 1 species